CUCAGAUCCACCGCAGCACGCAACCUGCCUCGCGCACUCCGGCCUUGCCACGCUGUCUGUCCUGCCCGUCUCCGGUCCACGGCCGCCAUCAUCCGCGAGCAGUGCCUCUGUUGCCUUCAUCCGCUCCACGGCCACCAUCCUCCGCCGCCAUCUCAUCUUGCGGCGCCCCUCCACCGCCAUCUCAUCUCUCUGGUAUGCUGCAGCCCUUCCCACCAUCUCAUCUCCCUCGCCAUGCCUCGCCCCUCCAGCGCCCAUCCUCCUCGUCCGCCACACCACGCCCCUCCACCGCGUCGUCGCAUCUCAUCCGCAAGGCCGCGCCCCUCCACCGCCGUUGCAGCUCGUCUGCCACCGGGCGCUCUACCUCCGCCUCCCAUAGCGACCACGCAACUAUAUGCCCGUGUUUCCCCCUAUUCCUCACUGAUUUGCAUCGAUCUAGAUCCUCCUCCCACGAGCAGCACCCUCCGCGGACGACCGUGGUUACCACGCCAUGCUGGAUCUAGAAGUGUACUUGGUGAUGUGGUCCUGAAAGCUCUACGGGAUGCGUGAAGGAGAUAGGGGUUGGUUCUUACGUUCCUUUUGUUUAUGGUUGUGAUUUGAGUAGGAGGCGACCACAUUGGAUAAAAUGACAGAUUGCUUACUCUUUACAUGUGCUGGAAGGAUACUGUUUUUUAGUCAUGUCUAGUUUAUUAGAGGCUUUACAAAAUCUAGAUCACUAGAUGUUGUACUACUUUUUGUUUAUGCACGUGGCAAUGCUUGAUGCUUUUCUGUUGCUCAGCAUGAACAAUUUUGGCAAACAUAUGUACAUAUUCUGUUGAUGAUGAUGGUUAUUAAAUAAAGAAUAAAUGUCGAAAUGUGCAGUUUUAUAAA